rnacentral:rRNA from 1 species
CCUACGUGCGUCUGCAGUGGGGAAUAUUGCUCAAUGGGGGCAACCCUGAUGCAGCGACGCCGCGUGAGUGAAGAAGUCAUUCGUUAUUUUAAGCUCUUUCAGUAGGGAAGAAAAUGACGGUACCUGAGUAAGAAGCCCCGGCUAAUUACGUGCCAGCAGCCGUGGUAAUACGUAGGGGGCAGGCGUUAUCCGGAUUUACUGGGUGUAAAGGGAGCGUAGACGGUUGUGCAAGUCUGUAGUGAAAGGUUGGAGUUCAACCCCCGGACUGCUCUGGAUACUGUACGGCUGGAGUGCAGGAGAGGUAAGUGGAAUUCGUAGUGUAGCGGUGAAAUGCGUAGAUAUUAGGAAGAACACCAGUGGCGAAGGCAGCUUACUGGACUGUAACUGACGUUGAGGCUCGAAAGCGUGGGGAGCAAACAGGAUUAGAUACCCUGGUAGUC